rnacentral:rRNA from 1 species
AGGGAGGAAAGAACCAACAGGGAUUGCCCCAGUAACGGCGAGUGAAGCGGCAACAGCUCAAAUUUGAAAUCUGGCUCCUAGAGCCCGAGUUGUAAUUUGUAGAGGAUGCUUUUGAUGCGGUGCCUUCCGAGUUCCCUGGAACGGGACGCCAUAGAGGGUGAGAGCCCCGUCUGGUCGGAUGCCAAAUCUCUGUAAAGCUCCUUCGACGAGUCGAGUAGUUUGGGAAUGCUGCUCAAAAUGGGAGGUAUAUGUCUUCUAAAGCUAAAUAUUGGCCAGAGACCGAUAGCGCACAAGUAGAGUGAUCGAAAGAUGAAAAGCACUUUGAAAAGAGGGUUAAAUAGUACGUGAAAUUGUUGAAAGGGAAGCGCCUAUGACCAGACUUGGGCCCGGUGAAUCAUCCAGCGUUCUCGCUGGUGCACUUUGCCGGGCACAGGCCAGCAUCAGUUUGUCUUGGGGGAAAAAGGCUUUGGGAACGUGGCUCCUUCGGGAGUGUUAUAGACCAUUGCAUAAUACCCUGGGACGGACUGAGGUUCGCGCAUCUGCAAGGAUGCUGGCGUAAUGGUCAUCAGCGACCCGUCUUGAAACACGGACCAAGGAGUCGUCUUCGUAUGCGAGUGUUCGGGUGUAAAACCCCUACGCGUAAUGAAAGUGAACGCAGGUGAGAGCUUCGGCGCAUCAUCGACCGAUCCUGAUGUUCUCGGAUGGAUUUGAGUAAGAGCAUACGGGGCCGGACCCGAAAGAAGGUGAACUAUUCCUGUAUAGGGUGAAGCCAGAGGAAACUCUGGUGGAGGCUCGCAGCGGUUCUGACGUGCGAAUCGAUCGUCAAAUAUGGGAAUGGGGGCGAAAGACUAAUCGAACCUUCUAGUAGCUGGUUUCCGCCGAAGUUUCCCUCAGGAAA